UACGAAGGGUGCAAACGUUAUUCGGAAUCACUGGGCGUAAGGGGUGCGUAGACGGUAUGUUAAGUUCGUUGUUAAAGGCUCCGGCCUAACCGGAGUACCGCAAUGAAAACUGGCGUGCUAGAGGGUGAGAGAGAGAAGUGGAAUUCCCGGAGUAGCGGUAAAAUGCGUGGAUCUCGGGAGGAACACCAAUGGCGAAGGCAGCUUCUUGGCUCAUUCCUGACGUUGAGGCACGAAAGCGUGGGGAGCAAACAGG
rnacentral:rRNA from 1 species